CCUACGGGAGACAGCAGUGGGGAAUAUUGCACAAUGGGGGAAACCCUGAUGCAGCGACGCCGCGUGAGUGAAGAAGUAAUUCGUUACGUAAAGCUCUAUCAGCAGGGAAGAAAAUGACGGUACCUGAGUAAGAAGCCCCGGCUAACUAUGUGCCAGUAGCCGCGGUAAUACGUAGGGGGCAAGCGUUAUCCGGAUUCACUGGGUGUAAAGGGAGCGUAGACGGUGCGCCAAGUCUGGAGUGAAAUACCGCAGCUUAACUGCGGAACUGCUUUGGAAACUGGCGAACUAGAGGGCGGGAGGGGUAAGCGGAAUUCCUGGUGUAGCAGUGAAAUGCGUAGAUAUUAGGAGGAACACCGGUGGCGAAGGCGGCUUACUGGACCGUAACUGACGUUGAGGCACGAAGGCGUGGGGAGCGAACGGGAUUAGAUACCCCAGUAGUC
rnacentral:rRNA from 1 species